CGAACGCUGGCGGCAGGCCUAAUACAUGCAAGUCGAACGGCUCUUCGGAGCAGUGGCGGACGGGUGAGUAACGCGUGGGAAUGUGCCCUUUGGUACGGAACAACACAGGGAAACUUGUGCUAAUACCGUAUGUGCCCUUCGGGGGAAAGAUUUAUCGCCAUUGGAGCAGCCCGCGUUGGAUUAGGUAGUUGGUGAGGUAAAGGCUCACCAAGCCUACGAUCCAUAGCUGGUCUGAGAGGAUGACCAGCCACACUGGGACUGAGACACGGCCCAGACUCCUACGGGAGGCAGCAGUGGGGAAUCUUGCGCAAUGGGCGAAAGCCUGACGCAGCCAUGCCGCGUGGAUGAUGAAGGUCUUAGGAUUGUAAAAUCCUUUCACCGGUGAAGAUAAUGACUGUAGCCGGAGAAGAAGCCCCGGCUAACUUCGUGCCAGCAGCCGCGGUAAAAC
rnacentral:rRNA from 1 species